rnacentral:lncRNA from 12 species
AGCCGCCCCACAGUCAAAAUCUUAAGGUGACAUCAAUUUGGACUUCUUUUUAAUUUGCAUUUGGAAAAUUUUAAGGAACAACAGUCAAUUAUUUUUGUAAGGGGCAAAUCGUCCAUCAUUGCGGCUCAGAAUUUGCUGGUUUCAACAAUGAGGACUUGAGGCUGACCACUGCAGGAAGCUGCUCUCCACAGAGAUCUCUGAGGGCCUGUCUGAUGGUGGGUGGUGUUCAUCAGUGCAAUCUUGUUCCUGUUCUGGUGGUCCAGUUGGGUGACUGGGCCCUAUGGUACAGGGUGUCAUUUAUACGAGCCAGAAGAGCAGUUCCAUUACUUGGCCAUCAGUCCCCUUAUCUCUGCUCUGCAGGAUGUACUCGGAAGUACUCUUCUAACCCGGCUAGAUUCUGGCACAGCAGGAAACCUAGAAAGAAGGCACAUUCAGCUGAAAGAUAAAUGAAUGGUGCUCAACAUUGACAUUGAACAAAGAUGAGAAAAGACAUCAUCCUUUGUCCACCUUCUUUGUUCCUAGUUGAAACCAAAAAUGGAAUUAAAGCUCUGCUUUAUGGUGCAUGCAGAACUCCAGAUAAAUGCUGAUUGCUAACAUGGAUGUCAUGCUUGUGUCACUCGGGCACCCUCUCACACAUAAGGACAUCUCCUUAAGAACAGGUGUGGUGCUGAGAACUCUGAUGAAUACCUGCUUGUGUUCACUCCAUGAACAGUAACUGCGUACCAAACCAACUCUGAGUGCACACCCUUGGAUGACAAUGUUUGAACCUUGAUAUACUGCACAGUGGAGGAUCAAAGGUCUUUUGGAAGCUGGUGCAUGUCCGUAAGAUGAUAAGAGAAAUAGGCCCUCAUCGAGAUUUAGGUAUCAAUAUUCCAAUAAUGUGAUUUAAAUUCUAUGCCAUUUCAGCCAAAUAUAAACUCAACAUAAUUGUAAAACUCUAAACAAAACAAUCUGUUAUUGGGUAAUCUUGUUUUUGAUGAUUUAAAUGCAUGCUAAUUUAUCAGAAAUGUAGAGUGCAAAACUAAAAGCUCUACUAUCAGUUAAUAAAAGCUUCCACAUGUAAAAUAUCUGCA